UGAGGUGUUGAUGGGUAGCUGCCAGAUGUAAGGUUGGACUGUACACUUCUUUGAACUGCACAGCUUCUGUUCUGGAAAGUACCUAAUCUACCACCAGGGACAGAGAUGUCCCUUGGAGGUCAUUUCUCAAGGAGAUUUAUCAAUGACCAGAGUGCUUUCUAUGUUGUUUUCCAAUCUACAGAGAUUCUGCAGUUACGUAUAAGGUGAUGGAGGUAUUGGUACUGCUGGUCCAGACAGAUUUGUCUGGGAGUGGACGAGUGGCUGGGACCAUCAGACAUUACUUUGCCAUGAAGAUGGAAGAAGAAUCAUAACAGAGGAGAUUCCUACUGUAUCAAGGUAUGGGGAGAGGUAAAGGAAAAAGCACUGUCUAGAUUUUCUGCUCUGGAGGGAAGCAUGCCAGCUUACCCACUCCAGAACCAGAACUCAGUAAGGGAGAAGUUAAGUAGUCCUUGGGAUUCAGAGAGGAGCCAAACGCCAAGGUGAACUGUAUCUAUGCAGUAUGGAAGAUGGGAUGACUUUAAAUGUUCUCUGCAAUAGAUAUAACUCUUCCAUCAAUAUGGCUAACCAAAUCAACAUCCAGACUUCUACACUGCACUGUUUAAAUGUUAAGCUGAGGUAACUCGGGGUUUUCAAAAGGUAAAGGUUUCAGUUUAAGAAACGCAUAAAUAUGGACCUAAUCUGAUUAUAGCCAAACAGGCCAAUUCAAGUGAGAAUCAAGACACUUGGAAACCAUGUUAAAAGCUUGCAGAUACUUGACCUCUGUGAAGAGCCUGACUGACCAUUCUGCCACUAAUAACGUGCACUUAAAGAAAUCUGGUACUCCUCCUCCCCCCACUGAUGACUGAGUAUUUCUGAAUAACUUGAAAUUCACACCCACUUGAAAUGCUGACUUGGGAAUACACUUUUUUGGAUGCAUGCUUCAUCAUAUUUCAGCCCGUACACAAAGAUAAGCGUUUUAGAAGUUUGAAGGCAGAGCAUUUCCUCCUACAGAAGAGAAUUUAUAUUUUCCCUGACAUUGCCCAGGCAACACAGGCUUGAAUCAAAAAUUGACGCUAAAAGCAGAGUUCUCUAGUCUGGGAAUCAACUCUGUUAUUUUAUUCCCAGCUACGUUCACUAUCCUACUUGACGAAGAGAAGAAUGUCCUUUAUAACAGCAGGGAAGUUGAACAUAUUUGGAUGACCCAAAUAAAAGCUAUUAGAGGGCAUGAAGAUACAAGUAAAAGAAUCUGGACUUACAGAAUGAUCCAAAUUCAGAUUCACUUUUCCCCUACAUUGUUUGGUCUUUUCUCCUUCAACGCCUUCUCUUCCUCCUUCCUCUCUCUAUGCUUCUCUGCUUGUGAGUUUUUUUUAAUAUUCUGAUAUUAGUAGUGGCAUUUUGAACUCUAUAUAUAUAAGAAAAAUGUUGUAUGAGAGAUUGGAACCCACAGUCUCUCAGCAGUGCUCUCCUAAAUAACAUCAGAGCCAGUGAGCUGUAGAAUCAGAUUUCCUCUUUUGUUGUCCCAUAGAACUUUUGUAUAUCUACAAUAGCGGUGAUGAGCCACAGACAAACUUGGAAGACAAGAGAAUCUGAUGAGAGAUAUGAGCUUGAAUCUGUUCAAGCUAACAAGGGCUUUGGGCCCAUGUCUCCAGUUCUUUAUAUGUCUUUAUGAAUGUUACUCAUGCCUGACAUGCAACUGAGAGCAUCUAAGUUAAAAGCCUAGAUGAGCACGAAGUCAGCAGAAGAUUCCUUGUAAAGGUUGUCUGAAUAUCCAAUGAGACUCCUCCAAGAGAUUAUAUCUUGAAGUUUUUCAGGAAAUUACAUCAUUAAUGAAGAGUGAUAUAUUUCUCUGAAAGCUUUCUCUCAUGCUUAAGUUAGAUAUUUAAAGCACAGGUAACCCAAAAGGUAUCUGCACAUUGAAUUUAAGAUAGAUUCCUUACAUUCUGCUAGAAUAGUAGCAUCUUCCUUUGCAUUUCCAAACAUGCACGCAUGCAUGUAGUUUUAUCUCUAUCAAAAAGGAUGCAGUAUGUUUUCAGAAGUCUUUGAAAGGGGCAGCAUAUUUAAACCUACAAAGUGAUCUCUGUAUGAGAAAUGAUUACAUAGAUAGGGAUUCUCUCAACUGGAAAAGAGAAUGCUGAGAGGAGUAUGUUCUUCACUCAGCAUAUAGUUGGUCUACGAAACUUAAUGAAUGCUAAAACUCUGCAUGGAUUUAAAAGGAGCAGGACACAUUCAAAUGGAAACAACCUGUCUCAGGAAGUUCCUGAGAUAAGAACUGUUGGAGGCUGAACAGCUUUGCUGAAUGGCACGGUGGAUCUCUCAGACUUGAUGGGACCAAUUCCAGGUGCAUGCUGGUCAUUUUGUAUAAGAUAAGCCAGGUAGCAGUUAUGCAAGAUAUCACACGCAUUGCAAACUCCUUGGAAGUAAUGAGUUUGAUCUCGUCUGCAAUACUGCAGAGAUACAACACCCUUCCUGAUGAUGAACCACCGCAUCUGGUCACAACAGCAGACAAGAUGUAUGCUUCAUGGUUAGCUACAACACAGCUUGAGGAAUCCUAUGACAGCUGUCUGCAGUGGCUUCCUUUGUGACUGUCACCCAGAGAUAGUGUAGGCUGAAUCUUACAAAUAGUGCAUUGCCUAACUAUCGUCUCACUAAUUCUGGAGGUGGACAUCAGCAUCCAAACACUCUUGGCAAUAUUUCAUUUGUAGUUCCAUCAUUUCUACAUCAAAUAAGAGGUGCCUUCUCUUUCCUGGAACUCCUCCUACAUUGUUGAGAAACCAUGUCUUCCUAUAGGGGCAGCACUCCUCAUGGACCAGAGACUAUGAAAUGUGUAUAUAUACUCCAGAAAGCAGUCAGCUCUGCCUACUUUCUCUUUGCACAGAUG
ensembl:lncRNA